rnacentral:rRNA from 1 species
AGUGAACGCUGGCGGUAGGCCUAACACAUGCAAGUCGAACGGCAGCACAGUAAGAGCUUGCUCUUACGGGUGGCGAGUGGCGGACGGGUGAGGAAUACAUCGGAAUCUACUUUUUCGUGGGGGAUAACGUAGGGAAACUUACGCUAAUACCGCAUACGACCUACGGGUGAAGGCAGGGGAUCUUCGGACCUUGCGCGAUUGAAUGAGCCGAUGUCGGAUUAGCUAGUUGGCGGGGUAAAGGCCCACCAAGGCGACGAUCCGUAGCUGGUCUGAGAGGAUGAUCAGCCACACUGGAACUGAGACACGGUCCAGACUCCUACGGGAGGCAGCAGUGGGGAAUAUUGGACAAUGGGCGCAAGCCUGAUCCAGCCAUACCGCGUGGGUGAAGAAGGCCUUCGGGUUAUAAAGCCCUUUUGUUGGGAAAGAAAAGCAGCAGGUUAAUACCCCGCUGUUCUGACGGUACCCAAAGAAUAAGCACCGGCUAACUUCGUG